rnacentral:rRNA from 1 species
CCUACGGGAGGCAGCAGUGGGGAAUAUUGGGCAAUGGGCGCAAGCCUGACCCAGCAACGCCGCGUGAAGGCCGCCUGCCUUCUUGUUGUCCCCUUCUUUCCUCCGGGCCGCAGCAAGUGACGGUACCUGAGGAAUAAGCCACGGCUAACUACGUGCCAGCCGCCGCGGUACUACGUAGGUGGCAAGCGUUAUCCGGAUUUACUGGGUGUAAAGGGCGUGUAGGCGGGAAAGCAAGUCAGAUGUGAAACCCAUGGGCUCAACCUGUGACCUGCAUUUGAAACUGUUUUUCUUGAGUACUGGAGAGGCAGACGGAAUUCCUAGUGUAGCGGUGAAAUGCGUAGAUAUUAGGAGGAACACCAGUGGCGAAGGCGGUCUGCUGGACAGCAACUGACGCUGAGGCGCGAAAGCGUGGGGAGCAAACAGGAUUAGAUACCCUUGUAGUC